rnacentral:rRNA from 1 species
AUUGAACGCUGGCGGCAGGCUUAACACACGCAAGUCGAGCGGGGGAAGGUAGCUUGCUACUGGACCUAGCGGCGGACGGGUGAGUAAUGCUUAGGAAUCUGCCUAUUAGUGGGGGACAACAUCUCGAAAGGGAUGCUAAUACCGCAUACGUCCUACGGGAGAAAGCAGGGGAUCUUCGGACCUUGCGCUAAUAGAUGAGCCUAAGUCAGAUUAGCUAGUUGGUGGGGUAAAGGCCUACCAAGGCGACGAUCUGUAGCGGGUCUGAGAGGAUGAUCCGCCACGCUGGGACUGAGACACGGCCCAGACUCCUACGGGAGGCAGCAGUGGGGAAUAUUGGACAAUGGGGGGAACCCUGAUCCAGCCAUGCCGCGUGUGUGAAGAAGGCCUUAUGGUUGUAAAGCACUUUAAGCGAGGAGGAGGCUACUUUAGUUAAUACCUAGAGAUAGUGGACGUUACUCGCAGAAUAAGCACCGGCUAACUCUGUGCCAGCCGCCGCCGUAA